UACGCCACUCGAAACGCCGUCCUCGAAUUUCUUUGGAAGUCCGACCUUCUUAAACGCAUUUAGUCAUCUAUCAGUUUUCUAUUCUACUUUCCCCCUUUUCUCAUUUCGACCUCUCCAUCGCCAGUGCUUUUUGUGGCCUUCAUCAGAAGACCCGUAUCCGUGACAGUAUUCCCGCAGUGGAGGCACUCUAAACAUAGUCAAACAAACAAACAAACAAACAUUUCGUACGAGAUCGUAUAUAUCAUCUGAAGGCAUGCAACAAAACUAUUGCUAAUCUUUAGUUGCAUUUCCAUAGUCUAUUUUAAUUUUUGUUUUUUUUUUAAUGUUUUCAGAACAUUUGAAAUUAUUUAUUUCUCUUAGUUUCUAGGAGGGACCACAAACAGAAAAGUUAAUAGGCCUAUUAAGGAUAUAUUGGAUGCAGUUGACGAAACACUAAAGAUUGAUGACACAGAAGCUCACAUGGCAGUGUCGAACAGAUUGAGCACAGCUCGAUUAAUGUGUCAUACACAGCAAGGGGUGACACAGGUUCAAUUGAAGUGCUUGAAGGUGAAGGGAAUGCCAUGGCUCAUAUUCAAGUUAUGGAAGCACCAAUUUGAAGAUGUCCUUUGCUUAUCGCUCAUCAUGCCAUGCUGGAACGUCUUCUGUUUUCUGGUGGGCAGCCUGGCAGCUUCCCUUUUGUUUUUUAUACAAGGCCUCUACACCAGCCGGGCAGCUACAAAUUAUGUUAAGUUACCUUAUUUGGUGAUUUGUGUGGUUAAA